AGCGAACGCUGGCGGCAGGCUUAACACAUGCAAGUCGAGCGGGCCCUUCGGGGUCAGCGGCGGACGGGUGAGUAACGCGUGGGAACGUGCCUUCUGGUCUGGAAUAACCCUGGGAAACUAGGGCUAAUACCGGAUACGCCCUUUUGGGGAAAGGUUUACUGCCGGAAGAUCGGCCCGCGUCUGAUUAGCUAGUUGGUGGGGUAACGGCCUACCAAGGCGACGAUCAGUAGCUGGUCUGAGAGGAUGACCAGCCACACUGGGACUGAGACACGGCCCAGACUCCUACGGGAGGCAGCAGUGGGGAAUAUUGGACAAUGGGCGCAAGCCUGAUCCAGCCAUGCCGCGUGAGUGAUGAAGGCCUUAGGGUUGUAAAGCUCUUUUAUCCGGGACGAUAAUGACGGUACCGGAGGAAUAAGCCCCGGCUAACUUCGUG
rnacentral:rRNA from 1 species